rnacentral:rRNA from 1 species
CCUACGGGAGGCAGCAGUGAGGAAUAUUGGUCAAUGGACGAGAGUCUGAACCAGCCAAGUAGCGUGAAGGAUGAAUGCCCUAUGGGUUGUAAACUUCUUUUAUAUGGGAAUAAAAUGUUCCACGUGUGGGAUUUUGUAUGUACCAUAUGAAUACGGAUCGGCUAACUCCGUGCCAGCAGCCGCGGUAAUACGGAGGAUCCGAGCGUUAUCCGGAUUUAUUGGGUUUAAAGGGAGCGUAGGUGGAUUGUUAAGUCAGUUGUGAAAGUUUGCGGCUCAACCGUAAAAUUGCAGUUGAAACUGGCAGUCGUGAGUACAGUAGAGGUGGGCGGAAUUCGUGGUGUAGCGGUGAAAUGCUUAGAUAUCACGAAGAACUCCGAUUGCGAAGGCAGCUCACUGGACUGCAACUGACACUGAGGCUCGAAAGUGUGGGUAUCAAACAGGAUUAGAUACCCUUGUAGUC